UACAGAGGGGGCAAGCGUUAUUCGGGAUUAUUGGGCGUAAAGGGCGCGUAGGCGGCCUGGCAAGUGGAAGGUGAAAUCCCUCGGCUUAACCGAGGAACUGCCUUCCAGACUGCUCGGCUUGAGACCGGGAGAGGUGAGUGGAAUUCCCAGUGUAGCGGUGGAAUGCGUAGAUAUUGGGAGGAACACCAGUGGCGAAGGCGGCUCACUGGACCGGUACUGACGCUGAGGCGCGAAAGAGUGGGGAGCAAACGGG
rnacentral:rRNA from 1 species